CAAGUCGAGGGGCAUCGGGAGGGAAGCUUGCUUUCCUUGCCGGCGACCGGCGCACGGGUGAGUAACACGUAUGCAACCUGCCCUCUUCAGGGGGACAACCUUCCGAAAGGGAGGCUAAUCCCGCGUAUAUCGGUUUCGGGCAUCCGAGAUCGAGGAAAGAUUCAUCGGAAGAGGAUGGGCAUGCGGCGCAUUAGCUAGACGGCGGGGUAACGGCCCACCGUGGCGACGAUGCGUAGGGGUUCUGAGAGGAAGGUCCCCCACACUGGUACUGAGACACGGACCAGACUCCUACGGGAGGCAGCAGUGAGGAAUAUUGGUCAAUGGGAGAGAUCCUGAACCAGCCAAGCCGCGUGAGGGAAGACGGCCCUAUGGGUUGUAAACCUCUUUUGUCGGAGAACAAAACCCGGGACGAGUCCCGGACUGCGUGUAUCCGAAGAAAAAGCAUCGGCUAACUCCGUGCCAGCAGCCGCGGUAAUACGGAGGAUGCGAGCGUUAUCCGGAUUUAUUGGGUUUAAAGGGUGCGUAGGCGGUCCGUUAAGUCAGCGGUAAAAUUGCGGGGCUCAACCCCGUCGAGCCGUUGAAACUGGCAGACUUGAGUGGCGAGAAGUACGCGGAAUGCGCGGUGUAGCGGUGAAAUGCAUAGAUAUCGCGCAGAUCUCCGAUUGCGAAGGCAGCGUACCGGCGCCAGACUGACGCUGAGGCACGAAAGCGUGGGGAUCGAACAGGAUUAGAUACCCUGGUAGUCCACGC
rnacentral:rRNA from 1 species